rnacentral:ribozyme from 14 species
UUUUUCCUUUCUUUCCUUCUUUCUUUCUUUUUUUCUUUCUGUUUCUUUCAACAACUUUGCAGAUCUCUCUUAUGGCGCAAGGACUGAGG